AGUCUCUCGCGCAAACUAUUCAGUUUAGAAAAAAAUGAUAUUAGAAACCUCAAUAAAUAUCAUUUUUGAAGACCUAUCCAUAGAUACCCCACACGUAUGGGUUUGAUGAAAAAUUUUUUUUGAGCGAUUUAUGACGUAUUAAAAAAAACCUACUUGCUAGAUCUCGUUCAAACCAAUUUUCGGUGGAAGUUUACAUGGUAAUGUACAUCAUAUAUUUUUUUUAGUUUUAUCAUUCUCUUAUUUUAGAAGUUAGGGGGGGGGGGGACACACAUUUUACCACUUUGGAAGUGUCUCUCGCGCAAACUAUUCAUUUUAGAAAAAAAUGAUAUUAGAAACCUCAAUAUCAUUUUUGAAGACCUAUCCAUAGAUACCCACACACGUAUGGGUUUGACGAAAAAAAUUUUUUUGAGUUUCAGUUCUAAGUAUGGGGAACCCCCAAAAUUUAUUGUUUUUUUUUUCUAUUUUUGUGUGAAAAUCUUAAUGCGGUUCACAGAAUACAUCUACUUACCAAGUUUCAACAGUAUAGUUCUUAUAGUUUCGGAAAAAAGUGGCUGUGACAUACGGACGGACAGACAGA